rnacentral:misc_RNA from 1 species
GAUGAAGAACGUAGUGAAAUGCGAUAAGUAGUGUGAAUUGCAGAAUUCAGUGAAUCAUCGAAUCUUUGAACGCACAUUGCGCCCCUUGGUAUUCCAUGGGGCAUGCCUGUUCGAGCGUCAUUUGUACCUUCAAGCUUUGCUAGGUGUUGGGUGUUUGUCCUGAGGGACUCGCCUUAAAGUAAUUGGCAGCCGGCGUACUUGUUUCGGAGCGCAGCACAUUUUGCGAUCCAGAUCAACGUACAGCGGCAUCCAAGAAGCCUUAUUUAACGCUCUUGACCUCGGAUCAGGUAGGGAUACCCGCUGAACUUAAGCAUAUCAAUAAGCGGAGGA